rnacentral:rRNA from 1 species
GCCUAACACAUGCAAGUCGAGCGGCAGCACAAGUGAGUUUACUUAUGAGUGUGGCGAGCGGCGGACGGGUGAGUAAUGCCUAGGGGUCUGCCCAGCCGAGGGGGAUAACAGUUGGAAACGACUGCUAAUACCGCAUACGCCCUACGGGGGAAAGGAGGGGACCUUCGGGCCUUCCGCGAUUGGAUGAACCUAGGUGGGAUUAGCUAGUUGGUGAGGUAAUGGCUCACCAAGGCGACGAUCCCUAGCUGUUCUGAGAGGAUGAUCAGCCACACUGGGACUGAGACACGGCCCAGACUCCUACGGGAGGCAGCAGUGGGGAAUAUUGCACAAUGGGGGAAACCCUGAUGCAGCCAUGCCGCGUGUAGUGAACGAAGGCCUUCGGGUUGUUAAAAGCACUUUCAGUAGGGGAGGAAAGGGGUGAGUCUUAAUAC